GCGGUGGGUAGGGAUCGAGGGAUAGCCGUCCUCGCUUGGCCGAAACCGGCUUCAUGCGGCGCCAGCAACCUUCGGGUAAAACCAUCUUCCUCGUCACCCGCAACGGGCAGGGAAGACGAACUCACGCCGAGGCGGGCGGCCACGAGGGGCAGUCCUCUCGAAGGAGAGGUCCUGACUCUUAAUUGCCGAACUGGGCGAGGUCCGGGAGGGAGCAGCCCUAUGGCGACGCGGCCACGCUGUCUCGUCUACGUGGGGGAUUCCCCGUCCGAUGAAAUGGGGGCGGAGAGUGAUGGUGAACUCCGGAGGGUCCGCCGC
rnacentral:SRP_RNA from 1 species